rnacentral:rRNA from 1 species
AUUGAACGCUGGCGGCAGGCCUAACACAUGCAAGUCGAGCGAGCGGCGGACGGGUGAGUAAUGUCUGGGAAACUGCCUGAUGGAGGGGGAUAACUACUGGAACCGGUAGCUAAUACCGCAUACCAUCAGAUGUGCCCAGAUGGGAUUAGCUGGUAGGUUGGGUAACGGCUCACCUAGGCGACGAUCCCUAGCUGGUCUGAGAGGAUGACCAGCCACACUGGAACUGAGAAACGGUCCAGACUCCUACGGGAGGCAGCAGGGGGGAAUAUUGCACAAUGGGCGCAAGCCUGAUGCAGCCAUGCCGCGUGUGUGAAGAAGGCCUGCGGGGUGUAAAGCACUUUCAGCGGGGAGGCGUUACCAGCAGAAGAAGCACCGGCUAACUCCGUGCCAGCAGCCGCGGUAAUAC